rnacentral:rRNA from 1 species
CAGCAGCCGCGGUAAUACGGAGGGUGCAAGCGUUAAUCGGAAUCACUGGGCGUAAAGCGCACGUAGGCGGCUUGGUAAGUCAGGGGUGAAAUCCCACAGCCCAACUGUGGAACUGCCUUUGAUACUGCCAGGCUUGAGUACCGGAGAGGGUGGCGGAAUUCCAGGUGUAGGAGUGAAAUCCGUAGAUAUCUGGAGGAACACCGGUGGCGAAGGCGGCCACCUGGACGGUAACUGACGCUGAGGUGCGAAAGCGUGGGUAGCAAACAGGAUUAGAUACCCUGGUAGUCCACGCUGUAAACGAUGGGUGCUGGGUGCUGGGAUGUAUGUCUCGGUGCCGUAGCUAACGCGAUAAGCACCCCGCCUGGGGAGU